CCAUGUGCACUGGGAGGCUGGACUCAGAGCCCGCUUAGGAUUGACUGGUAGGGGCAGGAAGAAACAGGAUGGUCCCCACCUCGGAGCUUGGGUAACUGUGAGCUGCUCGGGUAGCUGCUCAAACAGGGGCUGCACAGGCUUCAUAUCUUCAUUUCGCGGGUCACAGGCAUGAGCAGCCGUGGCCGUUAGCCAUCUGGCCCCAGGACCCGCCAUCAGGGAACCUUCUCAAAAAUGCACAGGUCAAAUCCUCUCGCUGGGCUUCAGAUCUUUCUACACAAUUACGCUUGACGUUGGAGCCACUUUGUGGUCCUGCCUCUGAGGAGCAGAUGGCAAUGCAGACCCGUUUGUCUGGUUCUUCGUUUCUUUGGGAGGCCAACACUGCCGGCUUGGAGAGCCUGGGAAAGCCCAGAUCUUCCGAAACAAUGGUCAUGUAUAUACACUCAUCUAACAAAGAUUAGCCUCUUGGGGCACCUGGGUGGCUCAGUUGGUUAAGCGGC